rnacentral:rRNA from 1 species
CCUACGGGAGGCAGCAGUGGGGAAUUUUGCGCAAUGGGGGAAACCCUGACGCAGCAACGCCGCGUGAGCGAAGAAGGCCUUCGGGUCGUAAAGCUCUGUCUUAGGGGAAGAAAUCUGACGGUACCCUAAAAGGAAGCCCCGGCUAACUACGUGCCAGCAGCCGCGGUAAAACGUAGGGGGCGAGCGUUGUCCGGAUUUACUGGGCGUAAAGGGCGUGUAGGCGGCCCGUUAAGUCAGUGUGAAAUCCCGCAGCCUAACUGCGGUCAUGCACUUGAAACUGGCGGGCUUGAGGGCAGGAGAGGGAAGUGGAAUUCCCGGUGUAGCGGUGAAAUGCGUAGAUAUCGGGAGGACACCAGUGGCGAAGCGGCUUCCUGGCCUGGCCCUGACGCUGAGCGCGAAAGCGUGGGGAGCAAACA